rnacentral:rRNA from 1 species
UACGUAGGGGCCUAGCGUUGUCCGGAAUUAUUGGGCGUAAAGAGCUCGUAGGCGGUCUGUCGCGUCGGCUGUGAAAACCCGGAGCUCAACUCCGGGCCUGCAGUCGAUACGGGCAAACUGGAGUGUUGCAGGGGAGACUGGAAUUCCUGGUGUAGCGGUGAAAUGCGCAGAUAUCAGGAGGAACACCGGUGGCGAAGGCGGGUCUCUGGGCAACAACUGACGCUGAGGAGCGAAAGCGUGGGGAGCGAACAGG